GGGUGCGUGUUACACAUUCAUUUGUUCACACUCGGGCCAUCGGUGUGUGACUGCUAUCUCACAGAUGAGAGCAGACAUACAUGCACCAAACUUCUGAAGACCAGUGUUGAUGUGAACUUCAAUCUCAAAACAGCUUUGAUGAACCUGUGCCCACUGUAACCUCGGAUUCCUGUUCUUGGCUGAUAGGAGUGGAACCCGAUAUGAUCUUCUGCUGUUGUAUCCAAUCUGCCACAAAGUUUGUCUUUUUGUGUGUUCUGGGAUGCUUCUCUGCUCACUACGAUUGUAAAGAGUGGUGACUUGAGUUAUAAUAGCCAUUCUGUCAGCUCAAACAGGGCGUUUUCACACCUGGCUCAUUUGGAACGUUUGUUUUGGAACCUGCUGCAUUUGAUCCCUUGGCUUGGUUCAUUUAGAGAUAUAUGAACAUGCCAAUUGUGCUCGGAUCAGCAUCAAAACAAUCGGGCCGAGACCACCUCAUUCAUUGCAAACGAAUUCAGAGAAAGCAAUCCGACCCAACGGACCGACGAAACAACCUGUAUAGUAAUGCAUGAUGAAAACUGUGAAAGCGUGUUUGCUUCGCUAAUGGCUCACAACAUGAAUCGCAGUUUAACACUGAUCAAAGACGAGGUAAAAUGCCUCAUUUCAGUUUGGUCUGAUGAACAUGUUUUUGAACAACUUUCUAUCCAUCUUUAUGGAUGACUGCUAUGAGCAGAACCUUGGAACAUAAACAGGUGCACUCUGUCCUAUGAGAGGACAGUUUACUCAAAUGUGACUAGCACAAACACAUUCUGGUACGCUUUGAAAUGUUGUCUUGUGGAUGCAACAUUGUAACAAUUUAAUUCCCUUUUUCGGAACAAAUCACAGAUCUACAGGUCUGAAAAUGUCCUUAGAGUAAACUCCAGAGACUGCUGUGUGUGAAAAUCCCUGGAGAUCAGCAGCUUCUGAAAUACUCAAACCAGCACAUCCGGCAUCAAACAACCAUGCUACAGUCAAAGUCAGCAAGAUCAUAUUUUUUCUCCAUUGUGAUGUUUGAUGUGGAAUUGACCUUGACCUGUACCUUUACACACUGCAUUGCUACCACAUGAUUGGAUAAUUGCACAAAUAUGCAGGUGUUCCUAAUAUAGUGGUCGUGAGUGUGUGUAAACUAUAACUGAGAACUAUACAUUUUGGUGGAUAUUAUUUUUUCCCCAACCACAUCAAGUAUACAUUUUUCUACUUGACACAAGCAGCAUGGUUUAUAAAAUAAAAAAUUUCAUACUAUGUUAUGGUCCUAGAUGAAUGUAUUACCUGUCACUGAGCAUAAGACUCAGAUAUAUUGCUGGUCUAAUAUUGAUCAUAUACAGUGGUACUGCAUUUACAAUAAUCUAAUUAAGCAGCACAGAGUGAAUGCCCCAUGUUUCUCCUAUAUGCAGUUUACAUUUGAAGCCUUUAUCCAGAACACCACAUUGAAGUGCUUUGAAGUCUACAUGGAAAACAUAUACCCAUUCUAGUAUAAAUAGCUCAAGGUCUGUGAAUAUCACUAAGUCAAAACCCUGUGAAUAUAAAUCUCACCCAGUGUGAAUUGUGAACCUGGAAAUAAAAGUUAUG